UACGGGGGGGGCAAGCGUUGUUCGGAAUUACUGGGCGUAAAGGGCUCGUAGGCGGCCAACUAAGUCAGACGUGAAAUCCCUCGGCUUAACCGGGGAACUGCGUCUGAUACUGGAUGGCUUGAGGUUGGGAGAGGGAUGCGGAAUUCCAGGUGUAGCGGUGAAAUGCGUAGAUAUCUGGAGGAACACCGGUGGCGAAGGCGGCAUCCUGGACCAAUUCUGACGCUAAGGAGCGAAAGCCAGGGGAGCAAACGGG
rnacentral:rRNA from 1 species